rnacentral:lncRNA from 1 species
CAAGAGGUCAAAUAUAAAUCUCUUCGUAAAUGAAUGCAACAUAUAGUAUAUAAGCCAAAUUUACAUAUAAUUUAUCUACAUAUACAUAUAUGACUUUUGUAUUAAAAUAUCAAGAUUAUAGAUAUUUAUAAAUCUUAUGAAUAUUUGUCGAGUUAUCUCACACAAAUUGUGACGUAAGCACACUUUCAAUUAAAAUGUGAAUGUGUGUUAAGUAAAUUUUUAUACAGUUUUUGUCAGGUCAAUUUCAUAAUAUUACCGAAGUAUUAUUAAACAAUUGCAACUUUAUAAAGCGUGGAAACAAAACUAAUACAAAAAUAAAAAUUAUUUGAACAUAAUUUACAAUUUUAAUAAAUUAAUCGAUUUUAUAUAAUUUAAUCGAUUACAACUUUUUAUCGAUAACAAGCAUUUCGUGCAAAAUAUAUGUUUCUUUGCAACAGUUAUUUCAAUAAACCGCACUUCAAUUUUUUCAAAACAAAUAAAAUAAAAUAAGAUUUAAAAAGGAAUAGAUUAUUUAUAAAAAAAAUAUGCAGGAUUUGUUGAAUAUUUUUUGAUUGUAUGUAUGUAUGUACGUACACUUUAAAUAAUCCGCCUCGAUUAUCGUUCACCGAUUCGCGACGUAUCAGCGACACGGAGUGAAGUUAUUGCCGAUAGCUUCGAGAUUUUCGGUUAGUCGUGAGACGCCACGGAGAAUGGUUGUGGACGGAUCGACUGCGAGAUUCAGCGGCGGCGAUACGUUCAAUCGGCAAGUGCAACCGCAAUUAAUCCGAUCUUCGUCGAUCGCGCGACAAUGAGCUCGUCGUGGGUCACGCCGUCAACUUCCCGAGAUGCGCGUAUUUCGUGAGAUUCCUUCGAUCGAAACGAUCGACCGUGGCGAGUGGCCGUGGGCGAUGCCAUGUCCACCCUUCCGCGUAUGACGCGGGUCGUGGGUAUUCAUCUCGAUUCCAACUCGUGUAUUUACAUGCAUUCAUUCCGGCACAGCGUGUCGCGAUGGGGCAAUAGAGGGGAGGCGGUUUAAUCGCGACGUUUAAUCCCGAGGCGCGAUUAUGUGCCCUUUGUGCCAACAGGUGUGUGACGUCAUCGCGGCGAGCGACGUGAAUUUGGGCGCGCGAGCGGAUCGCGGCGUAACGUAAUGAAGUGAGCGUGCGGUUAAAGCGCGGGAAAUGACCGCGCGCGAUUUUCGGGAGUGCCGCGCGCAGAGACAUCGGGUGAUCGCGAUAUCUAGCGGCAACGGCAAGUGGUGCGUGCGUGAAUUUAACCUGUCGCAGAGAGAUAGCGUUGCGAGGGAGUGUUGAUGGUGUUGAUGUACUGUUAAUAGUGCCAUGUGGAUGAAGCAACAAGGGAUCAGGAAACAAGAGGAGGAGGAGGAGGCCCAGGAAGGGGUAUCAGGCGACGGCGGAACAACCGUGGAUUACACAAAACAAAUGGUUUUGCAUCAAUAUUUUAAUGUCCGCUGCUGUGCAUCGUACCGGUGAGUGUUGGAUUACUUUUAAUUCCGUCUGUUGAAACAAUGAAUUGACGAGGAAAGGUAUAAUACAAGGUAUAAUACAUAUGUAUAUGCAUGUACCUACAUAUAUAUGUUUUCAGGAUUGUAUCGUUAAACGUUAGUCUUGCCAUGCGCGCGGUACAAACUGCUAAUUGCAAACGAUUUGGGUCGAUUAGAUCUCACUAAUCGCGUGCAUUGAAGGUCGUCGAAGCAAUUUCAUUCCACGUCGGUAUUUGGAGGCGAUAAAGUGAGAUCUUAAUCGCCGAUUUCUAUUUUGGAUUGUUAUUGGAUUGACAUUGGAUUCUUUUGUACCAGGGAGCGCACGUCUCGACGACAUAAAAGGAGUUUCGUAUUAGGUGGAUUUGCCACGACAGAUAGCAUCCUGAUUUCGGCGUACCAAAAGUGACUUUGAAAAAAAGUGAUAAUGAAAAACAAGGAUAAGGAGAAUGACAAAGUAGAAGAAGAGAAGGAAGAAGAAACUGAGGAAGUGUGAACAGUUAGUGUGCUUGAUGCAGUAGUGUUUUUUUUGCAGGACAUUUAUCAAGGAAAUUUUUUCUUUCUGAAAUUUUACAAUGGAACUUUUGUUGAAAACACAAGUGAAUGAUGUAAGCGGUAUAUAGACGCUCAAUUGGUAGCUAGUUAAGAAAAUACGUAUAAUGUAACACUUGUAACACAGAAUACCGCAAGAUUCAGAAACGCAGUCGAGGGAUAUGACCUACUAAAGAAUGGACGUUUCCCAGGGAAUAUCGUACACAUGGGGCGUUACGAUUUAGAUGUCGACGUUUGAAAUGAGGCGCACGCUGCUGCGCCGGAAUUUUGCAGUUUCACAUCGUUUCCGACCCCACGGACCGAUCUCCCUUUACAUUUGCGGAUGCAAUAAGUUGCCUUGGCUUUUCCUCCCGCUAUCCGGUCGCACCAUACCAUCAUGCAUUAUCCAUGGUAAGAACCAGAUCUGGCCGCAUCCUACCGGUAUCGUUUUGAUACGCGCGAAUUGAAGCCUCCCGUGUAGCAUCAAGGAUCGAUUUGUCAUGGACGUCCGAUAUUAUAAAAGAACUUUUUCUCACGGAGCCGUUCUCAAUGAAAAAUGCGGAACGUUAUCUUUAUAGUGUUAAAUGGCGUGUAAUGCUCGAACUUACAAAAUAAUUGAACAUUACAUGCAGAAAUAAUACUUUGACAGUUUUUUUAUAGUUAAGCAACCUAAUAUUUUGGUUAAUGUCACUUAAGUAAAAAUUAUCUUUGUGUAACUUAAUAAACCUAAUUGUAGUUUUUUACAUUUACAUAGGAUUAAUUGAAAAAAAAUAUAUUCAAGAAUUAAACGUUUUUUAUAUUAUCAAAACGAUCAUAUUGUAUGUGUUUAGGUGAUCAUUUGCAAGCCUGAAAUUAAACGCAUAUUAUUAAAAUGCGUUUCAUACGAGUCACUGAUAUUAGCAUAUUGCAAUGAUAAUACACAGAAUUCUACGAAAGCUUGUCGCGGCAUUUAAAUAAAACGUUCUGUUAUCGUUGAAGACGUCUAGAUAGUUGUAUGACAUUAUAUAUUUAGUACGUUAUUUAAGUAGCGUCCUAUCUCGUCGGACAAACAACCACGGUAUGCCCCCAAGAUUUGUAUCUCCGUUUUAUGCAAGCGCCAGGAGAUCUUCGCACCUAAAUUAACUACCAACGUCUUGCGGUUAAAAGCGUUUGUUUUCGUUGCGGUUUUCAUACACGGUACAUUCACGAAAAUGUGCGCUAAGGCGCGCUAAAGUUUCGUUCUGAAUUUGCGCGCGGCGAUAAAUCCAUGUUAACGCUAAGCAAGACAGUAUAAUAUAGCGUGCAAGUUGCGGCACGCUAUUCGCUAUUUUCGCCAGUUUCGUUCGCGCUCGAUGAACCGUAAGGUACAUAAAGAAUAAUAAAAUAAAUGGAACUGACGUUUUCACGGUUUAACGCGUGUAAUUCGACUGGUCGUAUUCGCGAAACUUUUGCUUUAUGGUCCGUCGCAUUUGAGCACCAGGAAAUAAUGCAAAAAUUCACAAUGUUUCAAUAAGAACACAAUUUCAGCCAGAUUUAUAAUAUUCUAACAUCUAGGUUAAAGUGUUCCUAUCUGUAAUAUUAAGCAUGUGAUCGAAUUGUAUAAAAUACAUAUACAUAAUUUUUUAUUUCUCUCUUAUCAUUUGUAUUGUAUUUUUUUUUAUAAAGAAAGAAAUAUUAUAUAUGCUUCCAAAUUUUUAUACUUGAUGUUUUUUUUAUUGAAUCCACUAAUUAGAAAAUUUUACAUUAAAUUAGUCAAUUAGCAACGUUUGUAAUAUCGGGCGUUGUUCAAUUAAUAUCGCAAAAUUAAUGAAACGGAGCAGAGAGAAUUUAAAGUUUAAAAAUUGCAACAAUAAGUUCUGUACAAAUAUUCACGUAUAUUUAUUGCGCUAUUGAUUGACGAAGAUAUGUCUGUAUCUGUGUCUCUUUUCUCAUUAACCCGCGUUAUCAGAAAUAAGUUUACGGUAUAUCAAUUUAUAUGCUUUUGAGUACUGAUAAAGUGAAACAUGAUAUGGCUGUCGAUAUUUUUAGUUUUCCCGUUUUGCCGUUUAUCUUCUUUCUCUUUUCCUUCUAUUUGCUUCUUGUUCUAGCUAUUAACCGUUAUUGAGAUGAUUCUUAUCACAUGAAGAGGAAACUCGUUAGCGCACGAAGACCAUAAAUCGCGGAUGGGAAACAACGGAGUUCCGUUUGGCUUCCACGAAUACGAGAGCGGUUGCCUAAAUCCCCUAUCGGAAGCAUCUCGAUAGUUAUCAAAGAUCAUUCACAUUCUCCAUUAAUACUCUCAGCGAUGUUACAUACUGAACAACGAGAUGGAAGCUUACCCGCAAUGCUUAUUCGACUGCGUUACACUCGAAGCGAUGGCGAAGGCUUUCUAAUGUGGAUCAUGUUCAUUAUUAGCUCAAAGGAGGAGAGGGCCAUGGAAGAGAGAAGAACAAAAGGUGAAUGAGGAUGAUGAUGGAGGUAAAGAGCUUUCUAACGAGCCACGUCAUUCCCGUGGACGAAUGCCGGAAUUAUGGUUGAUACUCAUCACUGUGCGGUAUCGAUUGCAGUUACAGCGAGCGAUGGAAUCGAGUCGAGCUGCCGACGAUUUUGAUUAAAUUCACUCGCGGUCACGUUUAUACGGGCGAGUCGCGUUGAUAUCCAAAUAGAAGCAUUUCGUUUCGAAAUUUCACAUCGAUAUUUUAGAGCGAUAGGUAACGUGUAAUUCAAUACGUAUCGAUAGCAUCAAUGACAAGCUAUCAAAUGAAUCAAAGUAAUAAAGUAAUAAAUAAAAAGCCACGCACAAGUCAACAUUAGUGAUAUACAUCGAUUUACACAGUGACCAAUUAAAUGUACAAAAUCAUUGACAUUGACAAAUAAAACAUCUAAGACAACUCUCUUUCUCGAUUUAUUAUUAUACAUACGAAAAAUUAGCUAUCUCUCUAAUAAAUAUUUUAGACUUCAAAGCUAAUAGAUUAUUAAGUGUUUUGCAUUUUUAAUAAUAAUAAAUAAGCUCAAUUUUGCAAAGCAAAUAAAAGUGCUUUGAAUUUUAUUUGCUUUGCAAUUUUUUGUUAUUAAAAUAAAAGAUAGAUAAUAAAAAUGUGUCUUUUAAUUUAUUAUAUUAUGUCACAAGAAUUUUUCGAUUUGAUCGCACGAAAUAAAGCAGUAGUUGCCUAUUACUUGUUAUUUUUUAUUUUAUAUUUCUUAUUUAUGUAAUAUAUUGAUCCAAAUAAACGUUAGAAAUUAUAUAAUUUGAUUUAACCUUUUACAAAUAACAAAUUAAUUUAUUAUAAGCUUUUUUAUAACACUGCAAAAGAUGUGAUUUAAACAACCAAUCGUGCUUGUGAAAAUACAAAAUUGGUAAAUUAAACUAUUUAAAAAUAUAAGGAAUUAUUAAGUAAUAUUUAUUUUAUUAGUCGCGCUUUAAUUAGUCGCGCAAAAAUAUUCAUGACGUUAGUCAUGUGGAAUCAUCCCAAAAUAAACUGAGGAAACUAAAUAACAAAUAUAGUGAAAAAUCUACAGUUUUUAUUUUAAGCAAUCAAGUUAUAGUCUAACUUUUGAAAUAUUUUAAAAAUAAAAUAAGACUUGGACAUCGUAAUGACCUCGCGCGAAUAAUUAAAAAUUAACAAUUUAUUGACAAAUUUAAAUAUUUAAUAAAUAAUGAUCAUGAAAAGAUAAAAAUGUCAAAAUAAAACUGGCUUGAAUUUAUUUUUGUAAUUAUUACAUUAUUUUAUUCAAAUUAAUAGAAUUUAUUUAUACUGUCACUUUUUUGUUAUCAGUUUUUCUGUCUUUCUGUAUAUUAAUAUCAUUUGUUAUAAUAAAAUUUGUGGAUGGCACGAUUUAGAAAAGCUAAUAGAUUUUAUAAAAAUAUCUAUUUAUUCUUUAAUUUUAUAAUAAUAACUUUUCAAUCUUUAUAAUAAUAACUGAAAAUGUAUACAAUAAAUGUAAAAUAUUUAACAAUAAAUCUUCUUUUAUAAAAAUAUAUAUAAUUUUAGCACAAAAUUGUACGAAAUUGCUUUAUUGUUAGCUACAUAAAUUGAUUAAAAAUUGACAUCAGUUGUAAUAAUUGUAGAAAUGUUAUUAACACACACAAAACGGAAUGUAAAUUUUUACCUUAAUUAAUAAUAUUACUUAUUCCUCAUUUAUUUUAUUACACUAGUUUUAUCUUUAAUGGUCGUUUUAUCAAGUAAAUUUAUCAAGUAUUUAUCAAGUAAAAUAUAAAAUAUAUUGAUAUAGAACGAUUUAAACAACUGAUAUAUACGCUGCAAUAUAUCAUCAGAAAUAUUUGCUGUUAUUGCUAUCCUAAGCAGAAUGGAUUGAAGAUACAAUAUCGGCCGCAAAAUGUUGAAUUAAUGAAAACAUAUAUUCAUAUUUUUGUUAAUAUAAAUUUGUUGAUCGCUCUAUAAUAUUUUCGUGUACUUACAUCUUGUAAUAUCGUGAGUAGCAACUCAUGUACCGUUGGACGUAAAACAUCACCCUGUUAACAGAUAUACGACAAAUGCGUUCCUCGGUCACGGACAUUGAUCGACAUCGACGACGUAUCGACAAUGUUAAUCUGUCUCGUCGAAGGGCUGCGCCCACAUCGCCGUCCGAUCUCAUGUUGCUCGCAUGAACUCGCUGCGGUAGCAACACGAAGUAACUUCCGUGUCCACCAUUGAAAAGGAUGUUCAUGCUACUAGUAAAUUUUUAGCGUAGUUGUUUGCGUCCAUGGAUAACGAGUGAGUUAACUCUGAGUUUAUAUACAAACACAGUCCGAGUAACUAAAUAUUAAACACAUAUAGAAAGGAGCGUUACCAGUUUUUACAAACGAGAACGAGAUAAAUCUUUACUUACACGAGGUAUAUCUUCAAUUCUACAGGUAAUAUAAAAAUAUAUGAAACAGAUUUUUUGACAAGAGUACAUAAUAAUGAGUUCGUAACGGACAGAUCCAAAUAUAUACAUUUCCCAAUCGUACAAAAGCCUAUGCGGAUUAAAUAUAAUUGUUUCCAAGAGUAAUUCCGAAACCAGUUAUUACUUUUCGUCCGCAAAGAAUUUUAGUUUGCUUUCUCGUUCGUUUGAGACAAUUUCUAAAUAAAAUAAACUAUUGAAGUAAAAUAAAAGAUAAAGAUUUGUGAAAAACGAUUUCUAAAAAGAAAAUAGAUACGGAGAAUAUAAAAUCAACGAUAUUAUACAUAUAUUAUAUCGAUGAUUUCAACUUAAUUAAUUUUCUUUCAUUCGAGAUCACGAAACUGUUGUCUUCGUUAUUUGACGUGAAAAAAAAAAAAAAAA